rnacentral:tRNA from 2 species
GUGUCCGUAGCUCAGCUGGAUAGAGCGUGGGUCUCCGGAACCCAAGGUCGGGGGUUCGAGUCCCCCCGGACACG